GAAUAUUGAAAUUCUCACCUACAAUGUGAUGCUAUCAAAAGAGAUUGCUGGUGAGACAGCAGCCACUGCUCCCAGGCCCGACAACAGGGGCAGCACCAAAGCUGGUCAGUGUUUCCUCCUUACAGGUCUGAAGGUGCUGCAGAGGAGGGUGCUUCCCAGAGAUCACCCCUGUGACAGACAGAUCGAUUGAAGGACCCCUGAAUGGCUGAAUUGAGAAGAACAAGCAUAUUAGGAGGCCAUACAAUGGGAGCCUCUCAGGCAGACAGACAAAGCCGUGGAAACUGCAGACUUAUUUGUAUGUUCUGGUAAACACCUUUGCUUCAUUUUCCCCGUCUCCGCCUGGACUGAGGGUCACCUCACCUCUCCUGGUGUCCAGAGCCUCCUUCAGGACAGAUGUUGCAAACCUGAGUUCUCACAAACAGCGGGGUCCAGCCCUUCUCAACACUGGAAAGCCCUUGAGCCAUCUUUGAUUUGUGUGUUUUGAUCUAAUUGCACUACUGCUUGCAAUGCUUGUUUUUAGCGGUGAGUGCUGGUUUAAUUUG
rnacentral:lncRNA from 1 species